GAUGAACGCUGGCGGCGUGCCUAAUACAUGCAAGUCGAGCGAACAGACGAGGAUCUUGCUCCUCUGACGUUAGCGGCGGACGGGUGAGUAACACGUGGAUAACCUACCUAUAAGACUUGGAUAACUUCGGGAAACCGGAGCUAAUACCGGAUAAUAUAUUUAACCGCAUGGUUCAAUAGUGAAAGACGGUUUUGCUGUCACUUAUAGAUGGAUCCGCGCCGCAUUAGCUAGUUGGUAAGGUAACGGCUUACCAAGGCAACGAUGCGUAGCCGACCUGAGAGGGUGAUCGGCCACACUGGAACUGAGACACGGUCCAGACUCCUACGGGAGGCAGCAGUAGGGAAUCUUCCGAAAUGGGCGAAAGCCUGAAGGAGCAACGCAGCGUGAGUGAUGAAGGUCUGCGGAUCGUAAAACUCUGUUAUUAGGGAAGAACAAAUGUGUAAGUAACUAUGCACGUCUUGACGGUACCUAAUCAGAAAGCCACGGCUAACUACGUG
rnacentral:rRNA from 1 species